rnacentral:rRNA from 1 species
AGUGAACGCUGGCGGUAGGCCUAACACAUGCAAGUCGAACGGCAGCACAGUAAGAGCUUGCUCUUACGGGUGGCGAGUGGCGGACGGGUGAGGAAUACAUCGGAAUCUACUUUUUUGUGGGGGAUAACGUAGGGAAACUUAAGCUAAUACCGCAUACGACCUACGGGUGAAAGCAGGGGAUCUUCGGACCUUGCGCGAAUGAAUGAGCCGAUGUCGGAUUAGCUAGUUGGCGGGGUAAAGGCCCACCAAGGCGACGAUCCGUAGCUGGUCUGAGAGGAUGGUCAGCCACACUGGAACUGAGACACGGUCCAGACUCCUACGGGAGGCAGCAGUGGGGAAUAUUGGACAAUGGGCGCAAGCCUGAUCCAGCCAUACCGCGUGGGUGAAGAAGGCCUUCGGGUUGUAAAGCCCUUUUGUUGGGAAAGAAAAGCAGCAGGUUAAUACCCCGCUGUUCUGACGGUACCCAAAGAAUAAGCACCGGCUAACUUCGUG